GGAUGUGAGGGCGAUCUGGCUGCGACAUCUGUCACCCCAUUGAUCGCCAGGGUUGAUUCGGCUGAUCUGGCUGGCUAGGCGGGUGUCCCCUUCCUCCCUCACCGCUCCAUGAGCGUCCCUCCCGAAGCUGCGCACUCGGUCCAUGAGGACAACCUUCCCCGAUAGGGGAAGACUGUUCUUCGGUCAAGGGUAUAGGAGUAGCUGCGCUCCCCUGCUAGAACCUCCGAACAAGCUCUCAAGGGAUACCACCCCUAAGUCUUGCUUGCAAACCCACACAGGAGAAGAUUUACAGUCUUGGAAGCAACAAAGAUAAGAAGCUUAUAAAAAGAAUUU
rnacentral:snRNA from 1 species